rnacentral:rRNA from 1 species
UACGUAGGGUGCAAGCGUUAAUCGGAAUUACUGGGCGUAAAGCGUGCGCAGGCGGCUUUGCAAGACAGAUGUGAAAUCCCCGGGCUUAACCUGGGAACUGCAUUUGUGACUGCAUGGCUGGAGUGCGGCAGAGGGGGAUGGAAUUCCGCGUGUAGCAGUGAAAUGCGUAGAGAUCGGGAGGAACACCAGUGGCGAAGGCGGCUACCUGGACCAGCAUUGACACUCAAGCACGAAAGCGUGGGGAGCAAACAGG